UGCGGCCCAUCAGGUGGUUGGUGGGGUAACGGCCUACCAAGCCGAUGACGGGUAGCUGGUCUGGGAGGAUGACCAGCCAGACUGGGACUGAGACACGGCCCAGACUCCUACGGGAGGCAGCAGCAAGGAAUUUUCGGCAAUGGGCGCAAGCCUGACCGAGCAACGCCGCGUGCGGGAUGACGGCCUUCGAGUUGUAAACCGCUUUUCGGGGGGACGAUUAGGACGGUACCCCCGGAAGAAGCCCCGGCUAACUCUGUGCCAGCAGCCGCGGUAAGACAGAGGGGGCGAGCGUUGUCCGGAGUUACUGGGCGUAAAGCGCGCGCAGGCGGUGGUCUCAGUGUCGUGUGAAAGCCCCCGGCUCAACCGGGGGAGGUCAUGGCAAACUAGACGACUAGAGCGGCGGAGAGGCCCCUCGAAUUGCCGGUGUAGCGGUGAAAUGCGUAGAGAUCGGCAGGAAGACCAAGGGGGAAGCCAGGGGGCUGGCCGCUGGCUGACGCUGAGGCGCGACAGCGUGGGGAGCAAACCGGAUUAGAUACCCGGGUAGUCCACGCCGU
rnacentral:rRNA from 1 species